CUACGGGGCGCUGCAGUGAGGAAUAUUGCACAAUGGGGGGAACCCUGAUGCAGCAACGCCGCGUGGAGGAUGACGCAUUUCGGUGUGUAAACUCCUUUUAUAUGCCAAGAAAAUGACGGUAGCAUAUGAAUAAGCACCGGCUAACUCCGUGCCAGCAGCCGCGGUAAUACGGAGGGUGCAAGCGUUACUUGGAAUCACUGGGCGUAAAGGACGCGUAGGCGGGUUGGAAAGUCAGGUGUGAAAUCCUACAGCUUAACUGUAGAACUGCACUUGAAACUUCUAAUCUAGAGUAUGGGAGGGGGAGAUGGAAUUAGUGGUGUAGGGGUAAAAUCCGUAGAUAUCACUAGGAAUACCUAAAGCGAAGGCGAUCUCCUGGAACAUUACUGACGCUAAGGCGUGAAAGCGUGGGGAGCAAACAGGAUUAGAUACCCGGGUAGUC
rnacentral:rRNA from 1 species